AGGACGAACGCUGGCGGCGUGCCUAACACAUGCAAGUCGAACGGGGUGAUCCUUCGGGGUCACUUAGUGGCGAACGGGUGAGUAACGCGUGAGAAACCUGCCUCUCAGUGGGGGACAACAGUUGGAAACGACUGCUAAUACCGCAUAAUGUCAUUUGGGGGGCAUCCCUGAAUGACCAAAGCUUUAUGUGCUGAAAGAUGGACCCGCGUCGCAUUAGCUAGUUGGUGAGGUAACGGCUCACCAAGGCGACGAUGCGUAGCCGACCUGAGAGGGUGAUCGGCCACAUUGGGACUGAGACACGGCCCAGACUCCUACGGGAGGCAGCAGUGGGGAAUAUUGCACAAUGGGGGAAACCCUGAUGCAGCAACGCCGCGUGAGUGAUGACGGUCUUCGGAUUGUAAACCUCUGUCUUCGGGGACGAAAAAGGACGGUACCCGAGGAGGAAGCUCCGGCUAACUACGUG
rnacentral:rRNA from 1 species